CCUACGGGUGGCAGCAGUAGGGAAUCUUCCACAAUGGGCACAAGCCUGAUGGAGCAACACCGCGUGAGUGAAGAAGGGUUUCGGCUCGUAAAGCUCUGUUGUUGGGGAAGAACGUCCGUGAGAGGAACUGUUCACGCAGUGACGGUAUCCAACCAGAAAGUCACGGCUAACUACGUGCCAGCAGCCGCGGUAAUACGUAGGUGGCAAGCGUUAUCCGGAAUGAUUGGGCGUAAAGCGAGCGCAGGCGGUUGUGUAGGUCUGGUGUGAAAGGCUUGGGCUUAACCGAAGCAGUGCAUCGGAAACUGGGGAACUGGAGUGCAGAAGAGGACAGUGGAACUCCAUGUGUAGCGGUGGAAUGCGUAGAUAUAUGGAAGAACACCAGUGGCGAAGGCGGCUGCCUGGUCUGCAACUGACGCUGAGGCUCGAAAGCAUGGGUAGCGAACAGGAUUAGAUACCCUUGUAGUC
rnacentral:rRNA from 1 species